AGCAUCUCAUGCAUUCUUUUAGCAUUUAAUUUAUUAUGCAUCUCAUCUCAUUGGUAAGUAAUCUCAACUACAUAGUAUGUUUCAAGCAUUCAUAUCAUUAUGUAAGCCUACCAAUACAACUAUAUGCAUCAAUUAGAAAACCAUUACUCUUAGACAUAUAGGCGACCUAGUCGCUUCGGUGAGCACAACCCACCUCAUUUCGCAUUCCGAUUGCUUGUCGACACUUGCAAUCAGCCUCCAGCGGCACCCGGCACCCGGUUUGACCCGAUCUCUCGCGCGACCACCCGAACGGCCUCCAAUUCACGAUCCGAAAAUUAAAGGUCUUCGGUUAUGUGCCACGAUGCUUCAAAUCCGUUUUUAUGAGGUUACGAUAUCGCCUCGGCCCUCCAGGCGAAAACGAAGCCUAAACGUCUGUUUCUUUAAUAACUUCGCAACGACUCCACGAAUCGCCGAACCGACUUCGCCAACGCGUUCGUUUACCUAGCAAUUAAGUUUACGAAGGGUCAAAUUAGAUCAAACCUCCAUAUUUUACAAAACUCCAUUUUUGAGCCCUAACAUGAAUUAACCUCCAAAUAAUCCAAAUUAAAUGGAGCAAUAUGCUAACAAUGCUCAUUAGAGGCUAUUAGAACACUUAAAGCUAAGGAUUAAGCCAAAUUCCAAAAGCUUACUACAAUGUGAACGCCGCGACGAAAACACGCCGCUCCAACGGGCGCACGAAAGCUCGAUCCGUCGCUCCCAACGCGUUCGCGAGCAUCUUCUCCACCAACGCCGCGAAUUUGAGCGAGAGAUUUGGAGAGAUAAGAGAGAAAUCUACAGAGAGAAGGGAGGGUUUUUCCUCUCCCUCCAUGCGUGCGUGAGUGGUAGGGUGGGCUGGUCGGUUGAGGAAGAAGAAGCAUCAGCUUCUUUAAUAACUACACCCUUCAACACUAUUCACUCCAGGGCAGUUUAGCAGUUCGGAACAGUUGGAGCCCUUCUGAGUGUCCGUUUGAGCUCAAAUUUGACAGGCAGGCUCGGUUUAAUGUACUGAGUAAGAAUAUAUCUUAAGUUUUCAGUUUCGACCCCGUUUGAUCACUGAAAACUGUACCGAACUGUAAUCUUUAUCAGAUAACUGUCGGAUUUUAUUUCUCACUUUCCGGGUGUCAGAAAAAUAUGAAACUUUAAAUCUAGUCUCAUAAAAAUAUUUCUGACCUAUCCUCCAAUUUUCAUAAUUUUCUGAGACUAUACAUUUUCUGCUAAUUUAUCUGUCCCGUUUCUAACAGAAAAUUUUAGAUCUCCUGUUUUCAUUCUGAUCUCAGCACAGGUCAUUUCUGACUUAUGUUUUACUCUUCUAAAUCCAAUAAAAAUAGUAUCACACACUAUUUUUAUUUAUUUUUAUUUUUAUACCAAAAUCUGGUAUGUUACAUUCUCCACCCCUUAAAAAGAAUUUUGUCCGCGAAAUUCAAAUCACGGCUCAAUUCAUCUCCGCGAACAAUUGAGGGUACCAACUCAUUCUUCCACUCCAAAGCGGCUCCACACCAUCGUGUUUCUAAAAGCGGCUCACUCCAAAGGACAUAGGUUUAAUAUUAAACUCAUUUGCAAAGUGUGAUGCAAGAGUGCAUCACGGUCUUGCAAGUCAUAGUGGCAGCGCAAGUCGGUACUCAACGACUCUACGCGCUCCAACACCACUCGUCAUUCGGUACGCAAAAAACUCUUCUUUGCACUGGCUUUCCCCUUAGGGAAUGCCUCCCAAUUCGAUCACCGACAUUGCUUAAAAGCAAUAUCACCGGUGCAUCGCUCCGUCGCGAGUGCUCUAAAUUCGCAUUGACCCUCAACUUUAACGUGAGAUGGCCUAUCUUAGCACAUCCCCAAUUCCAAUCCUCCAACUCCACGUGGUUUACUACUAGCUCAAGGUCUCACCAAGAGCACUUCAUCUUCUGAUACCAUAUGCCACGGUCAACAUCGAACUAUUUUCGCAACGAGCUCAUGCGAGCGCCUUGUUUGUGAAUUCGAGCCAAACUCCUCGAUAAGGCUAUCCGCCAAAUCGCUCUCUUCGGUCUCCACAGGUGGACCAAAGGCCACCAAUCCUACGUAGGCCUACCGCUUAAACCUGUCUCAAUACGCAGCGUCUCUCGCUCGCAAAUGCAGACCUAAUCAUGAUCGGGCGAAAUUCUCACUUGGGAAUUCGCACAUACUCCAACCAGGAGCAACUAAAAUCCCAAACCGUUACAGAUUCCCGGGUUGGGUCACACUCGUACUCUCGGUAUACUAUCAAUCGCACGACAUGCUCUACCGAGCCACAAGUACCACUAUCGGCUACUAUGCACCUAACGCGAGUCGCCAGUCCCACGAGUGGUCCAUGGCACGCUUCACACCUAGCAUUGCUCAAGUGCUACUGCCAACUCACUCACUCGGCUGAACCCAGUUCACACUCCACGCGUAACUCUACUCGAACGUCACACGCCUCUAUAGCGCUCCACAGUAAGUCCAGCAUUAUGCAACUCUUGCCUACACUCGCCGACUUCACAAGCACGACCCUACUACCUCACAUCGGGGUACUACUAGGCCCACGUGCUAGCACUUGGCCACUAACCAAUUGUUUCGUCAACAGUGAUUCACUUUCGCUGUUAGACCCAUCAGAACGACAUCCGAAAUACUCGGACUACUCGGGUGUCCUUAAAUAUCACAGCUCAACUCUCGCAAUCUACUAAUUAAGUUGUUUUGAGAGUCGAUUAGCCACCUCUAUCUCUACCGCGAGUUUCACUUCUCGCCAAAGGUCACUACUAGCACUUCGUUAGUGCCAUCUGGCUCUAUACCUAUACUGGCAGGUACUACGCCCUCACAACACGAGCAUGCCCGGGUAUCUAUACUCACCCGUCCACUCGGUCUUCACUAUGCUCAUGCAUGGCAAUAGUAAUUAACCACAUAACCAUUGCAUGCAAUGCAUCAACUUCACAUCAUGCAAAACAUACAUUUGCAUCAAUAACUCAUACCUGCAACGACGUCGUCAGCAACAGGGUCCUCAACCUGGGUUGCGUAUCUACGGCCACCUGGCGCUCGCCGCGAACCUUUAGGUUGCAUUGUCCUCAACGCCCUCUCUCCCGACCAUGCCGCAGAUGGCACACCUGCAGGCCAUCCUAGAGAGAAAUAGGCUGUCGCCAGUGUCAGGCCCCGGCUGUCACUUUGCGGACACUCGUCCCGCGCACAGCCCGAUUGCCCACACCUGUAGCACUUGCCCUCUCACAGCUCGCAAUACUGUGGGUAACGAAAACACCCACAUACGACAUAUCUCACUAAGGACCGAAUACAGUAGGUCCCCGGAACUCGGAAUCACGAGCACGAACACAUUGCACUCACUUGAGAACUUGACGGACCAUCGAAUCCACUCGUUGGCCGUUCUAUUUCCCUUUUCCUUACAAUUGGACUCAUGCUCCCCUCGCACAAUUGCACUGCCUUAUUCUAUCCACAAGGCCUAAUCCUCAAACCUCCUCUAAUCCUCCUAUUUAGAAAAGCUCCUGGAGAGUGAGAGAAGAAAGAACAUGGAGUUGAAGGGGUACUCCUUGCUGUGAACAAGGAAAGAAGAGGUGUAGGGUUUAUACAAACCGCCACAACUGCAUUUAAACCCCCCCAGCAUUUCUCAUUUGCAGUAGAUCUCAACCUGCUGCCAGACCCAUUGUGUACCGGUACACGGGCUUUUGUACCGGUACAAAGCUGUGCAGAGGCAAACCCGAGAGCAACCUCCUCGGAUUUUACCAAAGGGUACCGGUACAAACCAGAGGUGUACCGGUACACUUCUGCAAAAACUUAAACCCGAGAGCAAUGCUCUUCUCGGGUUGCAGGGCUGUACCGGUGACAACAUGAUGGUUGUACCGGUACACUUUGCCCAGAAUGCUGGUUUUGAGCCGUUUUCGAUUCUAUUUCGCGACGGUCGAUGCUAAAACCUUCUUACCUCCUUUGAAACUCAUUUUUAACCCUUCCAACGUCGUUGAAAUGUCAAUUGGACUUUGUCCAACUAUUUCUCUCAACGCACUUUGGUCAAUUUGACUAAAGUUUGAUGUUUAUUUACCAAAAUUUCGGUACGUUACAUUCUCCCUUCCUAAAAGGAGUUUCGUUCUCAUUAUCCCGCACUAUGUCCAGGAUGCAAUUCACGACACGGGAGAAUUCCCGCUCGUAUUCCCUCACGGCGCGGUCUACCUGCCGCAGCUUCGAGAACCUUUCCUGAAGCUUUCUUUUCCAUCAUCAAGGGAGUAAACCGAGAAUACCGAUCCCCGAAACUCAUCCCAAACCACAGGAGGGAGACCAGGUAGUCGAUUCCACUCGACGCCUAUCCACCACAUCUUCGUCGCGACUCCCGGCCGUACUUAACGAGCCGUAACUGGUGCGAUCACUACUGAUCCCCCAACUCUUGGAGUCUCUUAACUCGCUCCUCCCGGCAUAUGGCAGCCUUCUGCUGACACUGCAUAAAUUCGGCUCAUUACCCCGCCACACACACGAGAGUGGCCAAUCACUCGCGAAAUCUCAAGUCUCCGCUCGUCUCAAAUUGCCCAGGGUCACCACUUGGCCCAUCCCACGCCGAUCUAAACGAAGAUCGCCGACGCAGUGUUAUCGCUUCCUAAAACGCGACAACUUUAUUAAUCCUCGACCUUCUAGGUCGAACACGAGACACUUAAUACCGACUCAAAUCGGGCGAAAGUUACACAAGGGCGUCUAUUCUCAUGACUCGGUUUCAUGUUGUGCGCGCCCAACAUGAACACCCUUUGUUGAGAAUAAACCUCUCCUUGAGUCUAGUCUACCUCAAACAUCCGCUUUAGAAGUUUACGACACAAUCCAAUCGAUUAACCUUUCGCCAAAAGGUACAAAUUCUCAUCUUUCACGAGCCUUAAUCUCCUAUGGUUUACUAUCCUAGGGUCUUCUAGAUCCAACUAAACCAUUUCUAUUAUUAUUUUUAUAUUCUUUUUAUUCUUUGAUACCAUCUUAUCUGUCACGCCCCGAGCCCGCAUAUUUGGCCGGUUUCGGGCACGCCGACAGACCGCCGAACGGACAGGGUUUCUCCGGUACCGUGGACAGAGUCUCCCCUAUACGUCCAAGGCGUCGCAAUUGAUACAAUGUACGAAGUUCCAACUAGAAACACAUUUCGAUCAAAAAUUGCAUAAGGAAGUAUCAAAAGCAUAAUCUAGUUGCUAUUACGAGCAUUCACAUUCACUAGAUACAUUUUACAUCACAAAUACUUAUUACAUUUAACUUCCAAAUACAAUCAAGAUUGUUACAACAUUGUUUAUUCUUUCCUUUUCUUUUCUUCUACAACCCUAGCUAGGCUGACUCGGGGUACCGCUAUCUCUGAUCUCGGUGGUAGGGCGCAAUCUAUGGAGCUACGCCCUCUCCUCACGCCGCCGCGCCGCUGACGUGGGAACCUGUACCCCCAAAAAUAACACGGGGGUGAGAACUAUAUGAAUAUAGUUCCCAGUGGGUACGACCACCCAAGGGAAGAGCUCGACCCACAUGUCCAAGGAGGCACUGCAACAUGUUAGUCCAACAAAUAUCCAACAGAUAUAUAUAUAUAUAUGCGAUAAUUGAAAUACAUGUCAUGCCUCACAACCAUGCAAUAUGAAAAUCAUGCGAUUUAUGCAACCAAUUAGUAGUUCAAUCGAUACUACUUUAAUCCUGCUAUUCAAAACUCAUUCUAUUGACUUCGAAAUUAUUCCGCUAUUUUAAAUUCAUAUCAAUUACAAUUCUGAUCAUAUGGUCUCAUUUAC
rnacentral:lncRNA from 1 species